rnacentral:rRNA from 1 species
CUUGAACGCUGGCGGCAGGCUUAACACAUGCAAGUCGAACGAGUGGCGGACGGGUGAGUAAUGCUUGGGAAUCUAGCUUAUGGAGGGGGAUAACUACGGGAAACUGUAGCUAAUACCGCGUACCAUAGGAUGAGCCCAAGUGGGUUUAGGUAGUUGUUGAGGUAAAGGCUCACCAAGCCGACGAUCUCUAGCUGGUCUGAGAGGAUGACCAGCGACACUGGGACGGAUACACGGCCCAGACUCCUACGGGAGACAGCAGUGGGGAAUAUUGCGGAAGGGGGGCAAACUGACGCAGCCGUGCCGCGUGAAUGAAGAAGGCCUUCGGGUUGUAAAGUUCUUUCGGUAGCGAGGCGUUAACUACAGAAGAAGCACCGGCUAACUCCGUGCCAGCAGCCGCGGUAAUUC